GAAAAUGCAAGUCUUUUACGGGGUGUUGCUGCAAUAUUUUGCUGUGUUGGCAAAUAAGAAGCCAUUGAAUUUCAAGCUUUUGAAUUUGCUUGUAAAGCCCCUGAUGGAGAUGAGUGCAGCGACCCCAUACUUUGCAGCUAUAUGUGCUCGCCAAAGGCUACAAAGAACAAGGGCACAGUUUUGCGAAGAUAUCAAGCUUACAGGAAAAAGCAGUUGGCCAUCUUUGAAGACCAUCUUUUUGUUGAGGCUUUGGUCCAUGAUAUUUCCAUGCUCUGAUUUUCGCCAUUGUGUCAUGACUCCUGCUAUACUGCUUAUGUGUGAAUACCUAAUGCGGUGUCCCAUCAUUUGCGGAAGAGAUAUUGCAAUUGCUUCCUUCUUGUGCUCUUU
rnacentral:misc_RNA from 1 species